rnacentral:rRNA from 1 species
UACAGAGGUCCCAAGCGUUGUCCGGAUUUAUUGGGCGUAAAGAGCUCGUAGGCGGCUCAUUGCGUCAACCGUGAAAACCAGCAGCUCAACUGUUGGCUUGCGGUUGAUACGGGUGGGCUGGAGUUCGGUAGGGGAGACUGGAAUUCCUGGUGUAGCGGUGAAAUGCGCAGAUAUCAGGAGGAACACCGGUGGCGAAGGCGGGUCUCUGGGCCGAUACUGACGCUGAGGAGCGAAAGCGUGGGGAGCGAACAGG